rnacentral:rRNA from 1 species
UACGUAGGGGGCGAGCGUUGUCCGGAGUUACUGGGCGUAAAGGGCAUGCAGGCGGUCCGACACGUUUUGUGUGACAGCGGGUGGCUUAACUACCCGAGGAUACGAAAGACGGUUGGACUUGAGGACUCGAGAGGGACACGGAAUUCCGGGUGGAGUGGUGAAAUGCGUAGAUAUCGUGAGGAAGACCAGUGGCGAAGGCGGAUCUCUGGACAGCUCCUGACGCUGAGGCGCGAAGGCUAGGGGAGCAAACGGG